ACUAAUGAAAGGCAGCCAAAUAUUGCCGCGUCCUGCGGCAAUAUUUGGCUGCACACCCGCAUCCUGCAGG
rnacentral:sRNA from 1 species